UACGUAGGGUGCGAGCGUUGUCCGGAAUUAUUGGGCGUAAAGGGCUCGUAGGCGGUUUGUCGCGUCGGGAGUGAAAACGCCGUGCUUAACACGGCGCUUGCUUUCGAUACGGGCAGACUAGAGGUAUGCAGGGGAGAACGGAAUUCCUGGUGUAGCGGUGAAAUGCGCAGAUAUCAGGAGGAACACCGGUGGCGAAGGCGGAUCUCUGGGCCGUAACUGACGCUGAGGAGCGAAAGCAUGGGGAGCGAACAGG
rnacentral:rRNA from 1 species